rnacentral:rRNA from 1 species
AACGUAGGUGGCGAGCGUUAUCCGGAAUUACUGGGCGUAAAGGGCUCGUAGGCGGCCAACUAAGUCAGACGUGAAAUCCCUCGGCUUAACCGGGGAACUGCAUCUGAUACUGGAUGGCUUGAGUUCGGGAGAGGGAUGCGGAAUUCCAGGUGUAGCGGUGAAAUGCGUAGAUAUCUGGAGGAACACCGGUGGCGAAGGCGGCAUCCUGGACCGACACUGACGCUGAGGUGCGAAAGCGUGGGGAGCAAACAGG